rnacentral:rRNA from 1 species
UACGGGGGGGGCAAGCGUUGUUCGGAAUUACUGGGCGUAAAGGGCUCGUAGGCGGCCAACUAAGUCGGACGUGAAAUCCCCAGGCUCAACCUGGGAACUGCGUCCGAUACUGGAUGGCUUGAAUCCGGGAGAGGGAUGCAGAAUUCCAGGUGUAGCGGUGAAAUGCGUAGAUAUCGGGAGGAACACCAGUGGCGAAGGCGAGUCUCUGGGAUGAUGCUGACGCUGAGGCGCGAAAGCCAGGGGAGCAAACGGG